AUUGAACGCUGGCGGAAUGCUUUACACAUGCAAGUCGGACGGUAGAGGGGGCAACCCCUCGAGAGUGGCGAACGGGUGAGUAAUAUAUCGGAACGUGCCCAGUCGUGGGGGAUAACGUAGCGAAAGCUACGCUAAUACCGCAUACGAUCUACGGAUGAAAGCGGGGGAUCGCAAGACCUCGCGCGAUUGGAGCGGCCGAUAUCAGAUUAGCGAGUUGGUGAGGUAAAGGCUCACCAAGGCGACGAUCUGUAGCUGGUCUGAGAGGACGACCAGCCACACUGGAACUGAGACACGGUCCAGACUCCUACGGGAGGCAGCAGUGGGGAAUUUUGGACAAUGGGCGCAAGCCUGAUCCAGCAAUGCCGCGUGCAGGAUGAAGGCCUUCGGGUUGUAAACUGCUUUUGUACGGAACGAAACGGUGAGCUCUAAUACAGUUUGCUAAUGACGGUACCGUAAGAAUAAGCACCGGCUAACUACGUGCCAGCAGCCGCCGUAA
rnacentral:rRNA from 1 species